rnacentral:piRNA from 1 species
UGGGACACUACUUCGAUGAAGGCUCU